UGCGUCAAGAGAAAGUUUUAUAAUAAUUAACGCGAUUAUAUUAAACAAUUUGCGCAUUAAAUGGAGUUAAAAUAUCCCUUUUUUUAAAGCGAAUUUUAGCCCUUAUAAGUGGCUGUACUUCUGAGUUAAUAUUGGAUGAAGCUAAAAUAGAUGAUGUUGGAAAAUCAGCCCCCAACGAUUCUAAAUUAUUAAGCCAGCCUUGGGUAACAUAUACUAAUAUGGAUGAUCAAAUGAUAAGUAAUGUUUUAGCAGCAGUACAGCUCGCCCUUCAAAUGGUGGAUACAACCCGACCUACAUUUAUACAAAGUGUUAUGCGUUCGUUAUAUCCAGAUAUUCGUUUUAAUAUUUUUGAAAACUUCAGUUCUUUUUCUAUAUUUCGUAUUCUUCGUGCUUCAAUUGAAGGAUACAAUAGCGACGGAGUGCUCACUAGGUUCAUAAUCUUUUCACCAGCAUAACUUUUUAAAAAAUGAUUAAUAUUUUAAAGUUACUUUGUUAUAUUUUGACAGAAUUGUUAUA